CUGUGGUCGAAUCAUUGCUGACAUGGUUCUGUGUAUACAUAUCUGUGACUUCUCUGAAGCUGUGUGGUUGCUAGGCUCUGUAUGCAUAUUUUGUGAUGCAAGCAGGACCAUGCCAUGUAUUCACAUGCUGAUGAGAUUAAAAUUAGGGCUGCUUUUCAGAGUGUUAGCCUCUGCUUGCACACAGUACUGUACCAACAGCAUUUUUCUUAGCCUAACAAAUUCCUGGAGAAACCUUUACACCAGUGCAUUGCCUGAACAAGCCCAUCCUAUGAAAAGUGACUACAUUUGUCUAAUUCUUGGACAACUAAAGGGAUAUUAGAGGAGGACUACAGACUUGGCCUAAUUCCUGCCUUUGGGAAGGUGGAACUCUGAGGUGAAAGAGUAAGGUGAAAUGAAUACAACGAGAGCUAUAAUCCCUCUGGACUUGCCCAGGACUCUGGAAACGAAGGAGCAAGAUAGGGAAGAUGGAACACAGUAGCAUUGGCCCAACAAGGUCUGCAUGAAAAAUCACAGUGUGACUGUCCAUUCAGAAGGCCUGCGAUGCUCAGACCUGGGAUUCAGAACAGAACAGCAGAAGGAAAAAUUUAGUGAUGGAGAUUAGAUUUGAGGAUUUUGAUAGAUGAGUGGACUGUUUCUGUGGGAUGCUGACAGGCUGUAAAAGAAGAAAGUGUCAGAGAGGGAUGACUGGUAGCCAAAUACAUUGUUCAUUAUCAAAUAAAGACAAAGAUUCCCAGAAAUACAGUGAGACAAAAUGGUAGUCUGCAGUGAUAACUUGAAUGCCUUCCAGGCAGAGCUGCUAGCAGGUAGCAGAAGAAACCAAUGCUUGCACUAGUUUCAAGUUCAGCUGUAUUUUUCAGAUUCUGUCAUAGAUCUAGGGAAAAUACUACUUUUCGGUUUAUGGUCAUGACUCUGCACCAGUGCAGUAAAGAGAUGAUGCACAUUCUGACCAAGAGCAUUUCCUACACAGACUAUAUGGCACUGUAGCUCUUGUUCUUGUCACUUCUGUGUCAUGCUGCUGGAUUCGUGCAGUUCAAGCUUUUCCUAUCUGCAGUAGCAGCUUUGCGAGUUUUGCUUAGUGGUUCCUUGCAUGAUACUUGAAGCAGAUACUACCCAUAUUCUAAAUCUUACCAUGGAAAAAAAAGUCAAAGAAUUUAUGGAAAUAAUUGUCUUAUUGCUAAAUAUUGAUCUAUAAACAAUGUUAAUGACUUGAAUAAACUCUUUUAUUCAAUCUCUCUA